rnacentral:misc_RNA from 1 species
GGAAGGAUCAUUAGCGAGUAUGGCCCUCACGGGUCUAAUCCACCAUAAACACCUUUGUGAACCAGUCAGGGGGACUCGGCCGUGAAAGCCCAGGCGAUUAGCGGAAGGGCCCUCCUUUGCAAACCCGUUUAGAAGUCUUGAAAGUACUUUUGUAUAAUCUAGUAAAACUUAUAGCAACGGAUCUCUUGGCUCUCGUAUCGAUGAAGAACGCAGCGAAAUGUGAUAAGUAAUGUGAAUUGCAGAAUUCAGUGAAUCAUCGAAUCUUUGAACGCAUCUUGCGCUCUUUGGUAUUCCGAAGAGCAUGUCUGUCUGAGUGUCACGAAACUCUCAACCUCCUUUCCUUUGUGAUCGGCUGGUUGGAUCAUGGGCGCUUGCCGGCCAGGUCGGCUCGCCUGAAAUGCAUUUGCGAUGUUGUGUCCUUGUGAGUUGGCCCGACUAGGCGUGAUGGUAACGACGUUCGUCUAGGAUCCCGCUUCGGCGAGGAGCCGCUCCUGUUGGGCGUUUGCCUUCGCAUGAACACUCAUAUCUUUGGUUUAGACCUCAGAUCAGGCAGGAUUACCCGCUGAACUUAAGCAUAUCAAUAAGCGGAGGAAAAGAAACUAACAAGGAUUCCCCCAGUAACGGCGAGUGAAGAGGGAAGAGCUCAAAUUUGUAAUCUGGCCGUUCUGCGGUCCGAGUUGUAACCUAUAGAAGCGUUUUCUGUGCCUGGCCCCUUAUGAGUCUGUUGGAAUAUAGCGUCAAAGAGGGUGAGAACCCCGUUCGUGAUGGGUGUCCAGUGUGCUCUGUGAUACGCUCUCUAAGAGUCGAGUUGUUUGGGAAUGCAGCUCUAAUUGGGUGGUAAAUUCCAUCUAAAGCUAAAUAUUGACGAGAGACCGAUAGCGAACAAGUACCGUGAGGGAAAGAUGAAAAGCACUUUGGAAAGAGAGUUAACAGUACGUGAAAUUGCUAUAAGGGAAACGCUUGAAGUCAGACAUGCUCCGUGCGUUCAGCCGAAAGGUGUACUCGUACGGUUGCAGGCUAGAGUCUGUUCUUGGGGUCGGAUAAGGGUCUUGGGAAUGUGGCCGGUUCGCCGGUGUUAAGCCCUGGACUUGAUACGGCUCUGGGGACAGAGGACCGCAGCGCGCCUUCUUGGCAUUGGCUUCGGCCUUUUCCGCGCUAAGGAUUCUGGCUUAAUGGCUUUAAGCGACCCGUCUUGAAACACGGACCAAGGAGUCUAACAUGCCUGCGAGUGUUUGGGUGUAAAACCCGUGCGCGUAAUGAAAGUGAAUGGAGGUGGGAUCCGCAAGGUGCACCAUCGACCGGUCUGGAUUUUCUAUGAUGGAUCUGAGUAAGAGCAUGUAUGUUGGGACCCGAAAGAUGGUGAACUAUGCCUGAAUAGGGUGAAGCCAGAGGAAACUCUGGUGGAGGCUCGUAGCGGUUCUGACGUGCAAAUCGAUCGUCAAAUUUGGGUAUAGGGGCGAAAGACUAAUCGAACCAUCUAGUAGCUGGUUCCUGC